CUGAUGAAGUAUUUUUGCUUCCUGAACCUUGAGUGAGGUGCUUAGUAUCAAUUGAACCAAAAGGCCUGGGCACGUUAAUCCUUUUUGAGGAAGAACCAGAAAGAUUCACUUGUGCAGGAGAGUUCAUUUUAUCACCACCAAUGCCCGGUCCCUGUGAAGGACGCAUCCAGUCAAACUAAAAAGAUCAGGUAUAGGAAGGGAGAGUAACAAUGCAAGAAUAUUUCACUGAGAAUCGGAAUAGAAUGUUAUGGUCAGGGAUCAUAGAGAUGAAGAAGUUUUAAACAAGGUGAUCCAAAGAAUUUAAAAAACAGGAUUUCACUUGAAGAUGAGACAUAAAUAUCUAUGUUUAUGGCAUUGGGCAACAAACCGCUUCUUCAUGACGGUGACUGCCAUGAGCGUUCUCAUCAGUUGUCGGCCUGAAUUGUAUCUGACUGCCAGGUUGAACGGCAUUACUGGAUCCAGGAUGCUCUCUUACUUCUCCUGCACAAGAAGAAUAAUGUUUACAUGAUAUCAGAUGCAUACCACAAGUUCUCAGAUAGUAACAUACAACUCAAGAAUUGAGUCAUUUCUGCAAACAAUGAGGCCAAUACUGAAUUUAAUGGCGAUGUUCUGCUUGCUGAUCAACUAAAUGUGAUACGUAGUAUAAACACAUUUGAAUUUGUCUAGAACUAAUAUGAUCCAAGGAAUAGUUUUCCAAAAGCAAGAAUAAACAGAUAUUUAUUUUCUACAAAAACAUGAGACAACAAAUACAAACUAUAUAAAUUAACAAAGGAAAUACUAAUCUUAAUCAAUGAAAAUCCUUCUUCCUCUCUUCAGGUAAUGUUCUGAUUAAGAAUUUAAUUUUAUUUCUAGAAAAGUGAAGAAUUAACAUUCGCUUGCUCAUUUUCCUACCGCCAUGUGAAACCCUUUUCCGUAACAAGAAAAUUAUUUUAGCAAAAAACUAUUAUAGCGCCUUCUGAUAGAACGAAGUGCAACUUGAA
rnacentral:lncRNA from 1 species